rnacentral:rRNA from 1 species
AUUGAACGCUGGCGGCAUGCCUUACACAUGCAAGUCGAACGGUAACAGGUCUUCGGAUGCUGACGAGUGGCGAACGGGUGAGUAAUACAUCGGAACGUGCCCGAUCGUGGGGGAUAACGGAGCGAAAGCUUUGCUAAUACCGCAUACGAUCUACGGAUGAAAGCAGGGGACCGCAAGGCCUUGCGCGGACGGAGCGGCCGAUGGCAGAUUAGGUAGUUGGUGGGAUAAAAGCUUACCAAGCCGACGAUCUGUAGCUGGUCUGAGAGGACGACCAGCCACACUGGGACUGAGACACGGCCCAGACUCCUACGGGAGGCAGCAGUGGGGAAUUUUGGACAAUGGGCGAAAGCCUGAUCCAGCCAUGUCGCGUGCAGGAUGAAGGCCUUCGGGUUGUAAACUGCUUUUGUACGGAACGAAAAGACUCUUUCUAAUAAAGAGGGUCCAUGACGGUACCGUAAGAAUAAGCACCGGCUAACUACGUG